rnacentral:piRNA from 1 species
AUUGAGAUUAAAAAUUAGAACUCU